GACGAACCGUGCGAACGUUGUUCGGAAUCACUGGGCUUAAAGGGCGCGUAGGCGGGUCGGCAAGUCCGGGGUGAAAGCCCCCAGCUCAACUGGGGAAGGGCCUUGGAAACUGCCGGUCUCGAGGGAGGUGAGGGGCCUGUGGAACUUCGGGUGGAGCGGUGAAAUGCGUUGAUAUCCGAAGGAACGCCGGUGGCGAAAGCGACGGGCUGGAUCUCUUCUGACGCUGAGGCGCGAAAGCUAGGGUAGCGAACGGG
rnacentral:rRNA from 1 species